UCUGGCGGCAGUAGCGCGGUGGUCCCACCUGACCCCAUGCCGCACUAAGAAGUGAACGGCCGUAGCGCCGACGGUAGUGGGGGGUCCCCCCAUGCGAGGGUAGGAAACUGCCAAAC
rnacentral:rRNA from 1 species